GCAGAGCUGGUGCGUGGGGACAGGACCCCACGGCAGUCAGAGCUCCUGCUGCUGCCCCGAGUUGAGGGUUAGGGCUAAAUUUAAGGCAUAGGUAUGUGAGUCAUCUCUUUACAAGACAAAGGAAAAAAAAGUUAAAAUGGUACCAGUGCCGGUAGGGUCCGGCCAUGGGGCAGUCCCACAACUUUUAGAUAAGAAUCAAACCGGAUUGAGUAAAUGGCAGAAGUCACCGCUCAAAUAUUAUCUUCAGCUAAAGACAAAGGAGGAUUUUGGGGUGGGGGGUUAGUUACAUGAGGUUGCCAGACAGUAAACAACUUAAGUUCUUGCCUUCCCCAUUAAGAGUUUCCAGAGAUAAAGCCAUCCCCCCUUCCUCCUGGCGCAGAGAGGGAGGCAUGGAGAUUUCCUUCACAAAUGCAAUUGUCUCUGAUCAAAGGGCAAACAAAUUCCACUCCUCAGAGCCUGCUUCUUAUCUGUAGUUUUAAAAGUAAUCAGCCUAAAAAUCCUCAUCAUAAACUGUUUUAAAAUUAAGCAGCCUAAAAAUCCUCAUCAGUGACUAUAAUUGGCCCUCGGUAUUCGUGGGUUCUGCAUCUGUGGAUUCAACUAACCCCAAAUCGAAAGGCCUACAAUGGCUCUGUCUGUACUGAAGAUGUACAAACGUUUUUUUCUUGUCAUUAUUCCCUAAACAACACAGGAUAACAACUAUUUACAUAGCAUUUACAUUGCGUUAGGUAUUAUAAGUAAUCUAGAGAUGAUCUAAAGUACAUGGGAGGAUGUGCAUAGGUUAUAUGCAAAUGCUAGGCCAUUUUCUGUGAAAGACUGGAGCAUCCACAGAUUUGGUAUCUGUGGGGGUGCUGGAACCAAUCUCCCAUGGAUACCGAGGGACAACUGUACUAAUGUUCUUCCUUCUGAGAGGUCUCUGAGGAUGACUGAGUUACUAUUUGCCAAGAGAUUUGAGAACCUAAGGCAAGUGACACUGAGCUGCUCACCAACUAUGACAAGGUGUCUGCAUAAACACCCAUCCUUCUGUUCUUGCCAGAUCUUUGUGGGUGGCAGAGUUUGGAAUAAUUUCAUUACCAAAGUCCAUCAGACUUGCCAGUGUCUCUCUAAGACUGCCUUUUUCAUAAUCAUUGUGUUUGUUUAUCUGAAAUGGAAUUCAUAUAGAUAAGGAAUGGGGAUAGUGCAAGGGUAGCUAUUAACCAUUCAAAAGACAACACAAUGGGAAUGAAUCAUCUACCCCCACGCCCUGAUUCUGAGGCUUGUUUUUGCAUUGUUUUUAUCCUCUAAAUAAAAAGAAGGGAAAAAUUCUAAGAAAGAUAAGCUCCUUAUGGCUAGUAAAGUUGAGAAUCAUCAUGAUACAAUGUUUAGACCACAAGUCUGGGAUGGAAGUGGGAACAAUUCAGAAAUGCUGUGCCAAAUUCUCCUUUUGUUCUUUGGCUUGCAGUAUGUUAGGACCAAGGGUAUUUGAAAGAUCAGCAUUUUAUAGGCUGAGAAAUGAAGACCUAGAGAAGGAAUAUGAUGAAUACAUGAAAAGCAAUAAGAAAAGUGUGUGUGUGCAUGUAUAUACAUACAUACAUAUGUAUAUAUGUUGAGGUAUAUGAGGAAGCCAUUUGGUUUAAAACUAAUUUGGCCUGACCUGUUUUUAUCCAGAAAGGCCUAAUGUGGCCUGCCAAGCAUGCCUUGUGUCUCUGCUUUAAACAUUUACAAAGCAAAGAAUGAUGCCUUUAAAGAUACGGAUGAGUGCCUCCCCCCAUAUAAGCGUUUCUUUAAAGAUACGCGUUUCUUCCCAGAAACUAAUGGUCAAACUGACCCAUUGUGCAGAUGUUGUGACCACUGAUCUGCUGUGUUAGCAAAACAUCUUGUGACUGUAGGAAAAAGAGAGAUUCCUAUCAUGUUUGAUGUAUGUUCUUGUUCCAACACGUUAUAUAACCACACUGUACACCUUGCUUCUUCAGAAUGACUCCUUCCUUGGUGAAGGUGCUCGCUCGUGCUAUAUAGUCCUCAGACUGACUCAUGUAAUAAAUGCAUCCUAAUUUUGAUUUAUAGAUUGAUUAUUAACUAUUUGUGUUGAUGUUUCUGGCGUAGUCACAGCAGGAUUUUCACAGUAACCCAAUGGAGACCACCUGGAAUCUACAUUGAACCAGCAUUCAGUACCAAUGAACACCCCCCAACCCCAGCACAGCUUCUCUGCAUUCUUCAAGCACCCCAGUGAGUUUUCAUGAAACCUGAGCCUCCUUAUUUUGUGUAUAAUGUCUAAGAGUUUUAUAUGAACUCUUUAAGGUCUUAAGACUAGAAAUGGUACUGGUACAUGUCCUAGGUAAAAGAAACCUAGGAGAAAUUUCCUAGGCCAAAGGAGCCUAGGGGGAACUUUGGAGUAAAUGGGGCAGGCUGACCUAUUUAAUUUGGUUUGAAAUUGGAAAUAACUGUGCCUGUAAAGUGUGAACAAAUUGUUUGAUAGAGAAAUGAGAGUCUGAACUUGCUCAGCUCUGAAGAGAAGGAAGACUGGCUCUUUCCAGCUGAAAGGUGUUCUCAGGUGACUGAGAACCUAGUGGUAGUGUCAGAGGAUCAACCCUUGUGACACAUAGUGGUCCGAUUUGGAACUCCAUUAUGAUCAUUCAUGUUAGUUAAUUAAAGGCUUGUCUGGGGAUGCACGCAUAAAGAUUUGUUGUUGAGCUCUUUGAGCCCCCAAGGCAGUUUUAGAUUGCUAGCAGGAGAAACCAAGGCAUUUAAGAUGGUGUUCAUGACCUUUUAUAGGGAUUGGCACUCACAAACAGCACAUUUAUGACCCACUACAUUGUCCCUAGAAAUUGUUCAAACUUUGUAGUAAAACAAAACUAAAAGAAAAUGGGAAAUCGCACUUCUAAAAGCUGACCAGUUUCCAAACAGGCAGCCUCUCCUUGGACCUCUGGCUACUUGCAAGUGCGUGACAAAAUGAGGAUAACUGUAAAUGAAUCCUUGGAUCAAGAUAAACCAGGAUAACUUAAAAUUACAGUAGCCACUAGGGCUUCUUUGAGUUUCCAAAACUUGUCUUUUGCAUACUAGGUUUAAGAGCUGCAGAACAGAGAAAACUUUAAUCUCUAAAGAGUCAAGCACACCACCUACCAGCACAAUUGCUUAAAAACUAAACAUUCUGGAAGCUGUAAAUACUUCCAAAGAAUGGCAAAAUCUUACUAAGCUUGUUUCAUGUACUGAGGGCUUGGCUUGAUAAUUUUUGGGUUGGAAGCCUCAAAAUACGGUUGGACAAAAAUACGGUUGCACCCAUUUUGUGGUCAGUGAUGGUUGGUCAGAAAUGCUGGUUGCAUUCCAUUUGUAGCUAAGGUUCCUACCAAACUGUCAUCAGCCUCAGUGGAGUUAUAUUGGCCAUUGGAAGGAAUGUUCCAAUUAGAUAAUAUCAUUUAGGAAGAGCACUUAAAAGCAAAGGCUUCAAAAUUGCAAAAUAACCUUGUUGAAAGUUUUGUUGCAAAAAGCAAAAAAAUUAAGUUAUAAGAGGUACCUAAAAUAAAAGUCUACUAAGUCAUCACUUACAGGCACUCCUGUAAUCUACCUUCAAAGAAGAGCCCAAUAUGAGCCCCUCUCAGAGUUAACUGGGACACUGAGAGACUUUCUUAGAAACUGCUUUGUUAAAGAUUAAUGGAGUUGUUCAAUACUGCCAAGUAUAGAUACUGUUUGUUCCAGCUGAAGCCUGAUAAGAUAUUUGAAGGGAUUUAGUAACUUACAUCAGAAAUUUGGCCAAAUUGGAAGCUGAUAGAGCCUAAUAGGAUUUUUUUUUAGGCUUCUUCCUUCAGUUAAAAUAAAACUAAGUACUCAGAGAGAAAGAAGCAGCUUAAGGAUGAUGUAAUUGGAUAGGUAAAUCAACCCGUAAUAUCAUUUAAGUUACAACACAAUUUCUGAGGAAUUAAAAGAGACUGUCCUUACCUUACAAAUCUUCACAAAACUGCAAGUGCAGUUCUAGAGGCAGUUCAGAUUCUACCCUUUUUCUUCAUCUCAAAAAGCUCGUAACCUCUCUAGGAACUGUUAUCUAGACCAUCACCAAUUCCUAAGACUCAAGAAAAGAAGAAGGGAAAAGAAAGGAAAAAUGGCUAUAGAAGCACCCUUGCUCAAAAUCUAGCAUCUUAAGUGUCUUCUUCACAAACAUUGGUAGAAAAGGCUUUAGCCGUCUAAGCAGAUAACCUCAAUUUAUUCCAACUUCCAGAAACAAAAUUUGGAUUCAACUAUUCUUACAUAACUAGUGAGCUUUGUAUUACUGUACCUAAUUCAUGGCAGUAAUUUUAAAAUAAUAGCUGUGGAGUCUCUGUGUAUGUGUGUCUAUAUAUAUGUUAUAUAUAUGUGUGAUAUUUUUUACCUCUGGAUGAUAUAAUUUCUAAAAGAGCUCUCUUUAAUUGCCUUAAAGUAAGUGCUUAUAUAAAUGUAAUGGAAAUUAACCCAAAUGUCUUUCCAUUUAACAUGAUAUAAAACAAUCUUUGCAAAGCAAAGAAAUAACUUAGAUUAAUAGUUGACUUUGCCUAAUGUCUCAAGAAGUUUCAUAGGCAAUAUAAAUGUUAUUAUUGGGACUAAGUAAAACUAAGUAGAUAUGAAAGAGAUAAAAUAUUAGACAUUAAUUACUAAACAUAGAUUUAUCUAUCUAGCUUCAUAUUUCAGAGAAACUAGAAAAAACUUGGGUUUAUUAAUAAACAUGUUUUGUGCCAUGCUGAGAAAUUUUCUGUGAAAAGGCACAUGCUUCUAAACAGUAUCUGUGGGUCUGCCAAUCCAGAGGAGGCCAAUAUAAAAAAUUAUUGAAAGUAACAUGUAUAUUUUCAGUAAAGAAGGCAAAAGGAAUGGAGAUUUUUUUUUCAUUUGUUAAGAAUGAAAUUUAUCCUAAAGUACUAGGAAGGAAGGAAGACAUGGGACAAGGUUCUGAAUGUAAAAAGAAAGUUAUAGAAGGUUUGUGGAAGAGGAACCCCGAGAAAAGAGUUUUGUGCGUGGUCAAGUUGGCUAAGAUUGACAUGAACUUAAGUGAGUAAGUUAAGUAAGCUGGUGCAAAAAUUAGAAUUUGGUUUCCUUUCUCUUAAAAGGGUAAUUUUCUUGGAGUUUUGGUCUGCUCUUGAUAAAGAGAUUAUGAAAGCUUUCUUCUUUACUUUUGAGUAAUCUACCAGAAGGGUAGGGAUUUUAUGUUUUAUCAAAAUAAAUUCCCUGUAUUGUUUUUAUCAGGUCUUUAAUCAUAGGAGCUACAGGUUUUUCUUACAGCUAUUUGAUUUUCUGUAUUUGCCUGAAAAUCUUUAAUUGUCACCAUGGCUAAGUGGAUAACUAAGCAUUAUUUCACAGCAAGCUAUGAUCUUGUUUAACCAAGUGUUUUAAAACCUUUUCAUAUUUUUGACAAGCUUCCCAAAAAUUCACAUCCUAAAUGAAGUCUUUCUUUUGACUUAAAAGUAACUUUGAGAAUUUCUAGUGGGGCCCUGGGACUUCUCAAAGAAUUUGUUCUCUCCCUGUAAAGAGGGAGACACUAAACUAAUUAGGCUUGUUUGGUAUGUAAAAUCCCUAGGAAACAUUGUCAAAUAAGUGAUGCUAAGCUUCAUUUAUGGAUAUUCUUGCAUGCAUAUAUAUUGUUAACAUCAGUGUAUUAGAAAUUAUAUGAAAUUUUUGAAAAAUUUCUUAUAUGUCCUGGUAUAAUGUUAUCACUUGUAAUUCUAGUCAUUAUCUUAAUCCUGCUACCUUAAUUCAAGCACCACAGGAGGAAAAGGACCAUGACUGCAUUUUAUUAUAUAAUUUGGUUCACAGAUGGGUCUUACUUAGAAGGUGAGCAGAGAAAUUACUGGGCUGGAUAUCCUGUCCAUCCUUGAGAAUGCCCACUACUUUCCAUUAACCUUGCUAACCCAGUAAAACAUUUCCUUCUAAAGGCUCAAGAAAUUGCCAUGGAAGAAGAGGAACAAAUGUGACAACAAAAAGGGGGAAUUUUUGAUACCACCAUGCAGAUGUGGCUCAGGCCCAAUAAAAAUAGUGCCUAUUGGAUGACAAUUGCUACUGCUCCCGCAUAUUCAUCAAUUAACCCAUUGGGAACCUGAAAUGAGGAUUUUAUAGGGAAAACAAUACUUUCAGAAACUUUCUCCCACAGUAGCUCAUAAAGCCUAUGCUCAUUGUGCUAUACGCCCAAAGGAUAAUCCAGGAAAACCACUCAUGGGUCACAAGGCCACUUUCCCCUUCCCAAGGGACCCUUUGAGGUAUGGCAGUCGGACUUUGUUCAAAUGCCACCCUCUCAAGGGUAUAAGUAUAUCUUAGUAGUGAUCUGUAUGUUCUUGCAUUGGGUUGGGGCCUUUCCUUGUAGAAGGGCAAUGGCUUUAGCAGUAGGUAAAUUAUUAUUGGAAUGGACAACUUCUGUUUGGGGAAUUCCUACUAGAUUACACAGUGACCAGGGAACUGAUUUCACUGCACAAAUAAUCAAAUCUAUUUGUAAUAUUUGGUCAAUAAUGCGGCAUUUUAACUAAUGGCACAAUUCAAACUCAAUUGGCAAAGCUUUCAGAAGCAUUUAAUCUCUCAUGGCCAAAAGCUCUUCCACUAGUGCUCCACAAUCUUACACCUGUUGGUAAACAUUUGCUGUCUCCCUUUGAAAUAAUAAUAGGACAACUUAUGCAAUUAGAUGAGGGACUAUAUGAACCAACUUUGCUCAAGGGAGAUAUAUUACAUUAUUGUCAGGAUCUCACUGAGACACUUAAAAGAAAUGAAAUGUUGGUAGCUGAUUCCUUUCACAGUGAGCUCCUGAGAGAUGAAGACCUUAAGGAUCAUGGACUACAAUCUGGAGAUUUUGUUUAUUGGAAAACACACCAGAAAACGACUCUUUACAGCCCCAUUGGAAAGGACCAUCCUAGGAUGAGAAGAUAGAAUCUGUUACAGACAACUGUCCCAAGACUCUGGACCAGGCCUGUAUUCCCAACCUUGUAUGUCCUCAUUUAAAUCCUUGUAAUGCUUAAACUGUAUACCCAUUUUAUAAUUGCUACAAUAAUUGCUCUUGGUGAGUGAGUUCUUGGACCACAUCUGUUCUAUAAUUAUAAACAAUGUAAUUAUAAAAAGUCAUGUUAAAGCACAUGUGCGAUGUACAACAAUCUAAAAUUAAUUGAAAAAUUAUGUAACCUAUGAAAUACUUUCUCUGUUAAUAUAUGUUUCUAUGCUUGUCCACAAUAUCCAAUUGUUUUCCCCUAAUGUGGAUAACUGGGCAAAUCAAUGAAAUAAAAGCCUAGCACCAAGGGACAUGAUGGACCCAGGGCAAGCAGCAACCACCCUGACACUGAGAAACAAUAUUUUGAUCAUCAAUGCUUUCUAUCAAAAGAUUAUUGAUCAAAAGGGGAAAAAUGAUGAAUAAAUGAAAGCAAUAAGAAAAGAUAUAUAUAUAUAUAUCAGGAAGCCAUUUGGUUUAAAACUAAUAUGGCUUGACCUUGUUUUUUCCAGAAAGGCCUGACGUGGCCUGUCAAGCAUGCAUUGUACAUCUGCUUAAAUCAUUUACAAAGCAGAGAAUGAUGCCUUUAAAGAUAGGGAUGUGUGCCUUCCUCCCCCCCCCAUAUAUGCAUUCUUUUAAGGAUAAGCCUGUCUUCCCAGAAAUUAAGGGUCAAAUUGACCUACUGUGUAUAUUUUAUGACCCCUGACCUACUGAACACUGACCUGCUGUGCUCAUCUUGUGACCAGUGAACUGCUGUGCUAGCAAGACAUCUUGUGGCUGUGGUAAAAAGAGAUAUUCUUGUCAUAUUUGAUGUAUGUUUCUUGUCCCAAGAUGGUAUAUAACCACAGUGUACACCACACUUCUCCAGAGUCCUUCCUUCCUUGGUGAAGGUGCUCUCUCAGGCUGUGUAGUCCUCAGACUGUUUCAUAUAAUAAACUCACCCCAAUUUUGAUUUAUAGAUUGAUUAUUUGUGUCAACAAAUCUAAUUUGCCCAAGUUCACACAGAUGUGUUGAGGCACAUGAUUUCGUGAUUUAUAGGGGAUGAAGCAGGAGGAGCAAAGCUCUAAGAUGUGAGAGAUAGUACCUUGUCUGCUGAACUAUCCCAGUGGUGAGGGAUAUUUCUCUGAGACUUGAGCUACAAAAUAGAGCAGAGGCAGGAAGGAGUAAUUUCAGCCUACUUCCUCUCUUCUCAGAUUAAGCCUUUGCCUCUUCCCUCCCAAGAUUUUGCCCUCAAGGCCUCCAAGACCUGCUGUCAUUUCCUGCUGACCCUACUCCCCAACAUUUUCCCCAUGUGCUAUCUCCUUACUCCUCCUCAGAAAUAAUAAUAAAAUAGCCAUUUUUAUCAAACAUCCAUUAGAAUUGCCAAGCCCAGAGCACUCCACUUCUAAUAUCUUAAUUAGUCUCCACCCAACAGUAUGGCCAGUAUUGUUAUCCUCAUUUAAUAAAUGGGGCAACUGAGGCUCAUUGGGUACUGAGAUUGAGUAAACAAGAUCCCACAGCUGGUGACAACAGAGCUGGAAAUCUUACUCCUAAACUUUCCUCUUAAGUACUGUGCUUUGCAGUCUCCCACACUCAACACCAUUUUCUCAAAACCAUGCCUUCUUUCAUCCUGUUUCCCUCCCUGGUGACUAAAUUCUACUUCUAGAUAAGUGGGGCCCAUUUCCAUUGGACCCAAACUGGAAUUAGAAAAUCUGAGACAAGCAAGGGAAUGGAGCAGUUGCAUUCAGAGCCAAGAGAGAUCUAAAUAUCUGAUUUCGUGGACAUUAUGGGCUGCCUGUCUAGCAUUUAUUUUCUACUUUCUCCUUACAAAGAUCAAAUCUUUUCAGGAAUUAACCUUUCUCUUACAAGGCUCACAUGCUUCACCCCCAGCUCCAAGGAAAGGCCUCAUUUGUCCAAGGGAAAUCACAUACCCCCGUCCAGUGAUUGGUUCAUAAAUGAGCAUCUGACACAAAAUUGGUCAAUGAGAUGCAAGAAGAAGUUUGCAGGGAGCUGCUGGGAAAGUUCUUUCUCACUUUUCAAAUAGAAUUUAAAAGAGGUAACCCUUUUCUUCUCUCUGGACAGCUCACGCCCAGGAUUAAAGUCUGGAAUGUCUACAGCUGUCUCAUUAGUAGGCUGAGAUGAAACUUCAGAGGAAGGUAGAGCCAGGGCCACAGGCGUAUGUGAACCCUCGAUGUUUGCCUUACUGCUGGACUCUCUCAUAGGAGCCAAUAAAUUUCCCAUCUGUUUAAGCCACACAGAAUCCAGGGAUGAAGACUGAAUCAAGAGUCAAGCAGACAAUCCAAUGGAAACAUUAAUCUGAAAGAGCUGGUAGGGAAGCAGAAUAUGUGGCAAAACAAUGGGAGAGGAAUAAAGAUACCAGCACAGAGGAGGUUGCUGGGAGUGGAGAGUCUGAAGCAAAAUCUAAAGAGAUUCCUGGGACGUUGUUUCUGGGCUGUUUGUUGAGCAACUGAUCCAAUGGAUAUGAGCUUAUUCUGACUCCUGGAAUUCUCUUUCUCCUCUCAGUCCAAAUCCCAGCCAUCCUUCAAGCCCUAGCUCAAAGCUUACCUCCCAUGCCCUGGGCCUUGUUUACUUCCCUCUGCUGAGACUUCUUUGGGAUCUCUCUUCUUCAAAGAACAUCUGUCAUGCAGAAUCUCUAUGCAUCUUUGGGUGAAAGUCUUGUCUUUUAAGGCCAAAUGAAGUGGUAUAAGAAGUUUGGAGAAAAAUAAUCCCAAAGACUGAAAACUCAAAGGAAUCAUUUCAAUCAAAUGUUUCUCAUGACUUUGGCUUGGGUAUCUGGAUUCCUCUUCAAUCCUUGCACCUUUAUACUCACAGCUGUGGUAAAGUUUCUGCUUCCUGCCUAUUGGAAGCUAGCCACCACGUAAGAAGUACAACUACCAGAGACCACCAUGUCGUGAGAGGCUCAGAUCUCAUGGAAAGGCCCUUAAAAAUGAGAUGCCAUGUGAAGAGAGAGAACAAGGGUCAUGGAGACACCAGACUGUGAGUGAAGAAGUUGUCUUGGAAAGAGACCCUCCAGCAUCUGGUGCCUGUGCUGACACGAUGUGGAUCAGACACAGACCACCGAACAAACCCUUCCAGAAUUUCUGAGCCACAGAAUCAUUAGAUGUAAUAAAAUGGUUGUUUUUA
ensembl:lncRNA